GUUUUAUCAUUUGAUUUUGUCGUUUGAUUAGGGACUUUUCGUUUUGAAUUUUUAUUGGGAGGUCAGUAUUUUAGUGAUUUUACUUUGUUUUUUUUUUACAUGUUCUUGAUUUCAAUUCUCAGUUUUGUAGAGUAAUCAUACAACUCUCAGACUUAUCCACUGCAGUAAAUUCAGUAAUGUUCAUACAAUUUGGCUUUCAAUCACACUAAUCAC
rnacentral:lncRNA from 1 species